rnacentral:rRNA from 1 species
UACGUAGGGUCCGAGCGUUGUCCGGAGUUACUGGGCGUAAAGCGCGCGCAGGCGGCGGUGCUGGCCCGGCGUGAAAGCCCCCGGCUCAACUGGGGAGGUCACGCGAUACUGAUCGACUCGAAGGCAGGAGAGGGUAGUGGAAUUCCCGGUGUAGUGGUGAAAUGCGUAGAUAUCGGGAGGAACACCAGUGGCGAAGGCGGCAUCCUGGACCGGCAUUGACGCUGAGGCGCGGAAAGCCCAGGGGAGCAAAGCGGGG